rnacentral:lncRNA from 10 species
GCCUCUGGACAAAGCUCUGCAGAGGAGCCCCAUCUCCUUCAGCCCCCUCCUGCCUUUGGGGUGCAAGUUUCCUGAAGGACUUGAGUGAGAUGUCACCAAGCAACAGGCUGUCAGGCUCUUGGCAGCAAGUACUGGCCCAGCGACUCGCGGCAGAGUCUCUCCUUGGGGCGUCUGUCCUUAUCAGGGGUGGAUGCUGUCAGACUUGCUAAUGGUGGAAUUUCUGGCAUGUGGCAGGGCCAAGUGCAGUGGCUCACACCUAUAAUCCCAGCACUUUGGGAGGCUGAGGCACGAGGAUUGCUUGAGCCCAGGAGUUCAUCACCAGCCUGGGCAAUAUAGCCAGACCCGGUCUCCACAAAAAAAUUUUUAAAAAUUAGCUGGGCAUGGUGGCCUGUGCCUGUAGUCCCAGCUCUUUGGGAGACUGAGGCAGGAGGAUCAACUUGAGCCCAGAAGGUCGAAGCUGCAGUAAGCCAUGGUCAUGCCAGCGGAGUUGAGCCUGGACCACAGAGCAAGACACUAUAGGGAAGACAGCCAGGUGAAAAUGAAGGCAGAGACCAGAGUUAUGCAUCCGAAAGGCAAGGAAUGCCGGGGGCUGCCAGAAGCUGGAAGAGGCAAGGCAGGAUCCCCCACUAAAGGCCUUGGAGGGAGCAUGGCUUUAGCAGCACCUCAAUUUGGGAUGUCUAUUUUCCGGAACAGCGGGAAUAAGUGUCUGCUGCUGUAAGCCACCCUGCCUGUGGCACUUUGUUACAGCAGCCCAGGAACCUGACCCAGCCAGGCUGCUCCUGCUGCCCAGUGUGCCCUUCUCUCAUCCCUCCAGCUGGUCUCUCACUGCCUUCGAGCCCCAUCACCUGCUCGGGCUCCCCCUCUGUGUGUCCCCAGUUCUGGACACUUAUUCAGCAGACCUGUAAGUUUUGCUGGCCAGCCUAUCUCCCUGGCUAGACUGAAGGCUCCUUCAGGGCAGGCCUAACCUGUGCUAGGGCAGCAUGAUGCCUGGUACAGAAUAGGGGCUCCUUAGAUGUGGGGUAAAUAAAGGAAUGCUCGAAGGGUGAUGGGCCCCUGUGAGACUGGGAUGUGCCAUCUACUUCUUCACAGCCUGGCUCAGCUCAGGCUAGGGACAUGACAGUGCUCAGAGAGGUCACAGCAUCUUCCACACAGACCAUUCCCAGCUCCGCCACUCUCCAGUUCCCUCUUGGUGCCAUAUGAGUCUGAGGAACUUGGGGAAAUUCCUAACCUUCCCUUUCAAUUGAGCCAUUAGCCCUUGGAGUUAGCCACAACGUAAUUGCUCAGGUCCCUCCAACAAGGGGACUGUGUCUGUGGCUUGAUGACUCAUGCACACUGCUCCAUUCCACAACCUUGGGCAGGACUUGGGGCUGGGGACAGUGCCAGCCAGCAUAGGCAAGGAGCUUGGACAUCCCAUUACCCCAACCCAGUCCCCAGGAACAGAGUGUACUCAAGGUUUCAGGACAAAAAUCUAGAAGCAAGGAGGCGAACUGAGUGAGAUUUGAGUGACGAAAAGGAGCAGACAAAGACAACAGCGAGUACAAAGGCCCUGAGGCAGGAACGAGCUUGGCAUGAUCAAGAACUGAAAAGAGCACAGGGGAGGCUGCAGCACAGUGAAAGAGAGUUCUGGGAUACAUGUGCAGGAUGUGCAGUUUUGUUACACAGGUAAACAUGUGCCAUGGCGGUUUGUUGCACAGAUCAUCCCAUCACGUAGGUAUUAAGCCCAGCAUGCAUUAGCUAUUUUUCCUGAUGCUCUCCCUGCCCUGCUCCUCAUUUAUUUUAUUUAUUUACUUAUUUGUGUGUGUGUGUGUGUGUGUGCUGUGUCCCCAACACCAAGAAUGGUCUCUGGCAUACGGGA